rnacentral:rRNA from 1 species
CCUACGGGAGGCAGCAGUGAGGAAUAUUGGUCAAUGGACGAGAGUCUGAACCAGCCAAGUCGCGUGAAGGAUGACUGCUCUAUGGUUUGUAAACUUCUUUUAUAUGGGAAUAAAAUGUUCCACGUGUGGGUUUUUGUAUGUACCAUAUGAAUAAGCAUCGGCUAACUCCGUGCCAGCAGCCGCGGUAAUACGGAGGAUGCGAGCGUUAUCCGGAUUUAUUGGGUUUAAAGGGUGCGUAGGUGGUUUGUUAAGUCAGCUGUGAAAGUUUGCGGCUCAACCGUAAAAUUGCAGUUGAAACUGGAAGUCUUGAGUACAGUAGAGGUAGGCGGAAUUCGUGGUGUAGCGGUGAAAUGCAUAGAUAUCACGAAGAACUCCGAUUGCGAAGGCAGUUCACUAGACUGCAACUGACACUGAGGCACGAAAGUGUGGGUAUCAAACAGGAUUAGAUACCCCGGUAGUC